AUACGAAGGGGGCUAGCGUUGUUCGGAAUUACUGGGCGUAAAGCGCGCGUAGGCGGACUGAUCAGUUGGGGGUGAAAUCCCAGGGCUUAACCCUGGAACUGCCUCCAAUACUGUCAGUCUUGAGUUCGGGAGAGGUGAGUGGAAUUCCCAGUGUAGAGGUGAAAUUCGUAGAUAUUAGGAAGAACACCAGUGGCGAAGGCGGCUCACUGGCCCGAUACUGACGCUGAGGCGCGAAAGCGUGGGGAGCAAACAGGAUUAGAAACCCCAGUAGUCC
rnacentral:rRNA from 1 species